UGGGCGGCAUGAGCGGCAGCCUGAGCAGCCUCGAGCGUCAGCCUGAGCGGCAGCCUGAGCAGCAUGAGCGGCAGCCUGAGCGGCUUGCUGUUCCGUAGUCUCUCAACUUCUGACUCUAGCUGAGCCGUACUGCUGUUGGUCGAGCCCGCCUUUCGUUGAAAUCCUGGAGUGGUCUUCAGGACCCCCUGGCCCUUCUUUCCUAGACCCCGGCAGUAGAAGCUGUUUUCUCGCGGUGGGAAGGCUGUGCCCAUGAUCCUCGCCCUAACCCUCAGAUCUGAAGUGUCGAUCCGGGAAAUGGCUUCGGACAUCUCUUCCUCCUGCGUGUCCUGCCAUGUCUCCCUCACUAUAGCAGUCAUCACCUUGUCACUAGCCUCCCUCACCUUUGCCUAAUUGGAUAGGAAAAAAAUUAUUAAUUAACAUUUUGACAUAUAUAUAACUAAAAUUAAAAAUUCCGUAAAAAGGAAAUAGUACUUACUAUAUCCUCCUGGGAGUCAGGAUAUGCCCUCUCGUACGUAUAGACGUACUGGUUGACCUCUGGAUGUUCCCUGGCCGCCUCGUCCAUGAAGACAGCGAACGGUCUAGAACCGGCAUGAUGGUUCCUUGUGUUGCGUUGCCGGUUCUGAGCGUUCACCCGGGAAACCGCCUUCAAAGAAAAAGGUAAACUAUUAGUAAAAUAUUUAAAACGCACGUACUUAAUGAUAAAUUAACUAAUUAAUUUAUUUAAAUACCUGUUUACGAGGGUUGUUGAAUUCUGAUGUCAGAAGCCAACGCCACUCGUACUCUCUGUACUGGAACUCAGCAGGGGUAGCAGAACGUGCGUUCCCGUGCGUAGUCCAAUGGGUCCGCAACUCGUUCUUCCACUCCUUGUACCUACAGAUACAACAAAAAUAUUAGAAAUAUUAUUAAUAUGACAUACAGUUUUGUUUAUUCAUUAAUUUCCCAAUGUACCUUCCUCCAUGCACAAAGUCCGCCCAGCUGCUCUUCAAGGGCUCGGGAACCUCAAACCACGCCUGCAUUUAACCGUUUAUUAGUUUAGUUUUUCCAGAAAUCUACAAUGUAAUACAUAAUAUUAUUCAGGCAUUUUAUAAACUGACCGACAUCGCGUUGUGGACCAUGUCCUUAACCUCCUGCGGGACCUCGCCCCACUCUGACCACAACAUAGGGACUCUAUCCCUAAUGAGCGCUCCCACGCGGCCGGAGUACGUCCUCGACUUCCCGCCCGAUACUACGUCGCCAUCCUCGUCAGUACCGAUGACAAUCCUCCCUGAGGUACCGACGAUCUUCUUGAGAGCCUUCCCUGUGACGGGGCCUCUCUUCUUUUUUGCCGGCUUCACUCCAACGGUGCCUAUCACAUGAUAACCAAAUUGAUUAUUAAAAUCGGAGAAUUAUAAGAAAACACAUCAUUCAUCUUUCAUUACCUGAGGGCGAGGAGGCGGACGCGACGGAUUCCGCCUCCGAUGAUGAUACCCUCGCCGAAAUAAGAGGCGUAUCAAAAGGCACGAACCGGUACGCCGUUGAUGGAGCCACUGGCGGGGGCAGUGGAUAAAUCGGCGUCCCUGAGUCAUCGACUACAGGUAUGGCCGGUAUCAUCCGCG
rnacentral:lncRNA from 1 species